rfam:Hordeum vulgare subsp. vulgare, WGS project CAJW01000000 data, contig: morex_contig_1563801
UUUAUACUCCCUCCGUUCCAAAAUUCUUGUAUUUGUCUUGUCUAGAGAUGAAUAUAUUUAAAUACUAAAAUAUGACUAGAUACAUUCAUAUCUAGACAAAUCUAANNCAAGAAUUUUGAGACGGAGGGAGUACCUU